UCCUACGGGGGCAGCAGUCGAGAAUCAUUCACAAUGGGGGAAACCCUGAUGGUGCGACGCCGCGUGGGGGAAUGAAGGUCUUCGGAUUGUAAACCCCUGUCAUGUGGGAGCAAAUUAAAAAGAUAGUACCACAAGAGGAAGAGACGGCUAACUCUGUGCCAGCAGCCGCGGUAAUACAGAGGUCUCUAGCGUUGUUCGGAAUCACUGGGCGUAAAGCGUGCGUAGGCUGUUUCGUAAGUCGUGUGUGAAAGGCGCGGGCUCAACCCGCGGACGGCACAUGAUACUGCGAGACUAGAGUAAUGGAG
rnacentral:rRNA from 1 species